AGCCCUGUCGUAUAGUGGUCUAGUAUUCGAGCCUCUGGCGCUCGAGACCCCGGUUCGAAUCCGGGCGGGGCUA
rnacentral:tRNA from 1 species